rnacentral:rRNA from 1 species
UGGCACCUUGAUGUCGGCUCAUCACAUCCUGGGGCUGUAGCCGGUCCCAAGGGUUUGGCUGUUCGCCAAUUAAAGUGGUACGUGAGCUGGGUUUAGAACGUCGUGAGACAGUUCGGUCCCUAUCUGCCGUGGGCGUCGGAAGUUUGAGAAGAGCUGCUCCUAGUACGAGAGGACCGGAGUGGACGAACCUCUGGUGUUCGGGUUGUCAUGCCAAUGGCAUUGCCCGGUAGCUACGUUCGGACGGGAUAACCGCUGAAAGCAUCUAAGCGGGAAGCCCCCCUCAAAACAAGGUAUCCCUGAGAGCCGAGAUAGACCAUCUCGUCGAUAGGCCAGAGAUGUAAGCGUGGUAACACGCUCA